UAGGGAAUCUUCCACAAUGGGCGAAAGCCUGAUGGAGCAGCGCCGCGUGUGUGAUGAAGGGUUUCGGCUCGUAAAACACUGUUGUAAGAGAAGAAUGACAUUGAGAGUAACUGUUCAAUGUGUGACGGUAUCUUACCAGAAAGGAACGGCUAAAUACGUGCCAC
rnacentral:rRNA from 1 species